AUUUUUCCAAGAUCUUUACUUUAUGAUAACUGCUCUUUUUUUCUUCACCCUUCUUUUCCCCAAACUUUAGCCUGCUCAUCCUCCUUCUCUAGAAACUCCACGGCAUUUCUAUCAUGUGGGUCAAUUUAGUAUCUCUUGGAUUAUGUAAAUACGUAUCUUCACCACUGAUGAUGAUCACGCUCCAAAGGGGAGUCCAAAGCUUCAAAACCCAGUUUCUGAAGGAAUUCUCUGCUUGCUUUGAACAUCCAUGUACUUGACUCAAGGUCAGUCUUACCAAAUUUAGUUCCACAGAUAUAGUUUGGUAGGAUUUUAGCAAAU
rnacentral:lncRNA from 1 species